rnacentral:tRNA from 1 species
ACGCUGGCGUUUCUGGCAGCCUAUGCGCUGGUGCGGUUCCGCUUUCCAGCCCAGUUAGACCGGAUG